AGUGGCGCACGGGUGAGUAAUGUAUAGCUAACCUGCCCUUUAGUGGGGGACAACAGUUGGAAACGGCUGCUAAUACCCCAUACUCCUUCUUAUCAUAAGAUAAGUUGGGAAAGAUUUAUUGCUAAAGGAUGGGGCUUUAUUGUAUCAGCUAGUUGGUGGGGUAACGGCCUACCAAGGCGAUGACGCAUACCUGGUCUGAGAGGAUGAUCAGGCACACUGGAACUGAGACACGGUCCAGACUCCUACGGGAGGCAGCAGUGGGGAAUAUUGCACAAUGGGGGAAACCCUGAUGCAGCAACGCCGCGUGGAGGAUGACGCAUUUCGGUGUGUAAACUCCUUUUAUAAGGGAAGAUAAUGACGGUACCUUAUGAAUAAGCACCGGCUAACUCCGUGCCAGCAGCCGCGGUAAUACGGAGGGUGCAAGCGGUACUCGGAAUCACUGGGCGUAAAGGAUGCGUAGGCUGGAAAUCAAGUCGAGAGUGAAAUCCAACGGCUCAACCGUUGAACUGCUCUCGAAACUGGUUACCUAGAAUAUGGGAGAGGUAGAUGGAAUUGGUGGUGUAGGGGUAAAAUCCGUAGAUAUCACCAGGAAUACCGAUUGCGAAGGCGAUCUACUGGAACAUUAUUGACGCUGAGGCAUGAAAGCGUGGGGAGCAAACAGGAUUAGAUACCCUGGUAGUCCACGCC
rnacentral:rRNA from 1 species